rnacentral:misc_RNA from 1 species
GAUGAAGAACGUAGCGAAAUGCGACAAGUAAUGUGAAUUGCAGAAUUCAGUGAAUCAUCGAAUCUUUGAACGCACCUUGCGCUCUUUGGUAUUCCGAAGAGCAUGCCUGUUUGAGUGUCAUGAAAAUAUCAACCUUGACUUGGGUUUUGUGCUCUAGUCUCGGCUUGGAAUUGGGUGCUUGCCGCUUUUACGAGCGGCUCACCUUAAAUGUAUUAGCUGGAUCUGUCUUUGAGACUUGGUUUGACUUGGCGUAAUAAGUAUUUCGCUAAGGACAUUCUUCGGAGUGGCCUCGUUUCUAGGACGCUUGUCCGCUUUCCAAUACAAGUUCCACCUCGUGGACAUGACUUUUUAUUAUCUGGCCUCAAAUCAGGUAGGACUACCCGCUGAACUUAAGCAUAUCAAUAAGCGGAGGA